GUUGGCUGCAGGCUUGGGCUGCGCCGGGCGGGCGGGGAGCCGCUGGCCCUGUGUGUCUGCGGGGAGCGCGGAGCGCAUGAGGUAGGUGAGAGCCCUGAGAGUCUGAGCAAGGCAGCAUGGCAACCUGAGGUGCUGCUGGAGGGCACAGAGGCCGCGUGCAGUGCUGUGGUGAGAUCUGAGGAUGAGCCAGAUUGGGAGCUGGCAGGGAUCUCUCUGGAAUCUCGGGAUCUGCUUGCGGAGUGCCAGGAUCCAGAGCUGACAGUGGAGACGGCGGGCUAGCUGAUCCAGGAGGAGGAGCCAGGGGACGAGGGCUGCUCCAUGCCAGAAGCCAGUACAGCACCGUGGAUGUCUCAGAACAGGGAAGGGAGUAGGUUGCAGAGUGGUGGAAAGGCUGGCAAGCCUGAGGUCCAGGAAAAGCAGGGAACGAGUUUAUAGCUGCAGGAAACACAGGAGACUCAAACGAGUUCGGAAUGAUUGUUCCAGUGCGAGGAGGAAAUGAGAUCCACUUCUGAAAGAUAGGAAGGGUCAAGGUUGGAGGCCGAGAAGCUGAUGCCAGGCUGUUUCCAAAAAAAGAGGAAAUGACUCCACUGUGAAACCUCCACCCGGUACAUGAAGGCUCAAGAGAAGAUUAUGUCUGAAGCUGACCCAGUAACCGAUUCCUGCAAGGUCUGCUCAGUACAUCCCCUCUAAGCUGGCGGGUGCUGCUCACAGGAUUACAGCGUCCUAUCCUGCUUCCUCACAGCCAUUCCCCAUGAAGCUCCUUCACAGAAACCGAAAAAACAGGAGAACUGAGGCUGCAGCAAGAUACACCACAAAACACUGUCUCCAUUGCCUUUGUUUUUGUACCUAUGUUGCUCUGGUUCAGUACUGCAGCUAGCCUGCGUCUUUGCAUAAUAAAGUAGAGCUGGAG
rnacentral:lncRNA from 1 species